UACGAAGGGAGCAAGCGUUGUUCGGAAUAACUGGGCGUAAAGAGCACGUAGGCGGUUUAUUUAGUUGGAUGUGAAAUCCCAGGGCUUAACCUUGGAAUGUCAUCCAAUACUGAUAGACUAGAGAACUAUAGAGGAUAGAGGAAUUUCCAGUGUAGAGGUGAAAUUCGUAGAUAUUGGAAGGAACACCGGAGGCGAAGGCGUCUAUCUGGGUAGUUACUGACGCUGAGGUGCGAAAGUGUGGGGAGCAAACAGG
rnacentral:rRNA from 1 species